UUUCAUAUUUUUUCACAGUUCCACCCAUUCCAGAUAACUUUGAGUCAUUGGUGAGAGUGAGUGAAAAGGUAUACAACAAGUUCUCUCUUAAGAUUGACUCCAGCCUGCUGAACAACACUAGUGGGCCAAUCACACAUGUUGGGGUGCUGAUGACAAGUAAUCUCUCUGAUGACACUUCUGAUUUUACAAAGUACUUGGGGAACACUUAUAAUGAGUGGAAGGCAGGGAGUACUCCAAGAUACCUGGCAACAGUCAAAAAGACCAUCCAAACACGCAGCGAAGAAAAUCCUCUGAGCAUACAAGUAGGAGAUGGAUCUCAGUGGGAGGGCUACAUUAAUGGUGCUCUGGAUGCCAGUCGAAAAUACCAAUAUGCUAUUGUGUUGUUCACCAGUCUG